rnacentral:ncRNA from 1 species
UCUUAUCCCGAGCUGGUGGAGGGACAGGCCCUAUGAAACCCAGCAACCUGCUUUAUGUGAAUUUUCAAUAAUAAUGAACCUUUUGUUUGCUUAUUGUAUAUGUUAAUUUAGUAAACAAAUCGUUAUUUUGAAGACGAUUUAGAGCAAAGGUGCUAACCUGAGGCAAGGAUUAAGUCCUUGAACGAUAAGA